ACGAAUACGAUGAUCGGAAAAAGUACAGUUGUUUUGCUCGUUACAGAGAGCCAGGGGAUGGUGGAAACCCGGCACGCAGCAACAGCUCGAAUGGGUCCGUGAGUGGCAGCUUGAACAUUGAAAGUAGAGCGCCCGGCAGCCGUCCGUUAACCGGUUUUAAGGGGAAGCAAUUUUGCUUCAACGAGAGGUGGCACCGCGGGAAACCGUCCUCCAU
rnacentral:ncRNA from 1 species